rnacentral:rRNA from 1 species
CGAACGCUGGCGGCGCGCCUAACACAUGCAAGUCGAACGAGCGAGAGAGAGCUUGCUUUCUUGAGCGAGUGGCGAACGGGUGAGUAACGCGUGAGGAACCUGCCUCAAAGAGGGGGACAACAGUUGGAAACGACUGCUAAUACCGCAUAAGCCCACGGUGCCGCAUGGCACAGAGGGAAAAGGAGCAAUCCGCUUUGAGAUGGCCUCGCGUCCGAUUAGCUAGUUGGUGAGGUAACGGCCCACCAAGGCGACGAUCGGUAGCCGGACUGAGAGGUUGAACGGCCACAUUGGGACUGAGACACGGCCCAGACUCCUACGGGAGGCAGCAGUGGGGAAUAUUGCACAAUGGGGGAAACCCUGAUGCAGCGACGCCGCGUGGAGGAAGAAGGUCUUCGGAUUGUAAACUCCUGUUGUUGGGGAAGAUAAUGACGGUACCCAACAAGGAAGUGACGGCUAACUACGUG